AGAACUACUUUAUACAGAAGCUGGGUUGUUGAAGUAUCUUUGCUGAGAGAUGGUUGCAGAGCCCAUUUGGGGCAGUCAGAAAUUUUGAUGUUUAUGAUACUGGAAAAUACACGUGUGGGAUUAGAGCGCCUUAUAUGUUCGUCGAGGCUGCAAAAGUUGAGUCACAAAGUCAAAAACGUGAAGCAAAUUUCUUGGUUAUCAACAUCUUCAGUUUCCAUCUGCUUGACAUCAAAAGUAUUGAAUCCAAAAGAAUUGGCUUCCU